GUCGAGAAUUUUUCACAAUGGGCGAAAGCCCGAUGGAGCGACGCCGCGUGGGGGAUGAAUGGCUUCGGCCCGUAAACCCCUGUCAUUUGCGAGCAAUUCCCCGGUGUUAACAGCCCCGGGGUUGAUAGUAGCGAAAGAGGAAGGGACGGCUAACUCUGUGCCAGCAGCCGCGGUAAUACAGAGGUCCCAAGCGUUGUUCGGAUUUACUGGGCGUAAAGGGUGCGUAGGUGGUGGGGUAAGUUUGGUGUGAAAGCUUCGGGCCCAACCCGAAAACGGCAUCAAAUACUAUUCCGCUCGAGGGUUGAAAAGGGGACUGGAAUUCUCGGUGUAGCAGUGAAAUGCGUAGAUAUCGAGAGGAACACCAGUGGCGAAGGCGGGUCCCUGGGCAACUCCUGACACUGAGGCACGAAAGCUAGGGGAGCAAACAGGAUUAGAAACCCCUGUAGUCC
rnacentral:rRNA from 1 species